AUCCCGGUGCUGCCCACCCACCACACCGCAGGGGCCUCUGAACCUCGCCAGGCACGUCCGGUUCUGCGGCCCCCACUCCGCCCCCGCCUGCCAGGAGCCGCGCAGUUACAAAGUGCUGGGAGCCGUGGAAGGCCAGUGAACCCCUCGCUGAGACUCAGUUUGCUGCCAUCACAAGUGCUCUGAGAAUCCUGGAGAGGGAGGGUAUUGGAGACAAACGAGACUGCUGCCCGCCUUUUAGGCGACCGUCGGAGGCUGCUCUGUGCUGGGCACAGGCAGGGAGGUGGAGGCCAGACACAAGAAAAGCAGACACAAGAAAACCACAGUACCAGUAAAUGACAAAGGCUGGAUCUUAACCCAAGUCCUCCGACUCUGAAGGCCAUACCCAACAGGUCCCAUUUUAUUUGUUUUACUUUUUGUUAAUUGAAGAAAAAAAAAACUAGCAUUCCCCUACAGUGCCCCCCACCUGGUGGGGACAUCUUGGAUUGGCAAGGCCACCACUUUCAAGAGUAGAAGCGUUUUUCAGCAGGAGGAGUUUGCCGCACCAAAGGAGCUCA
rnacentral:lncRNA from 1 species